GGCGAACGGGUGAGUAACGCGUGGGCAACCUGCCCUCCAGUUGGGGACAACAUUCCGAAAGGGAUGCUAAUACCGAAUGUGCUCCCUCCUCCGCAUGGAGGAGGGAGGAAAGAUGGCCUCUGCUUGCAAGCUAUCGCUGGAAGAUGGGCCCGCGUCUGAUUAGCUAGUUGGUGGGGUAACGGCUCACCAAGGCGAUGAUCAGUAGCCGGUCUGAGAGGAUGAACGGCCACAUUGGGACUGAGACACGGCCCAAACUCCUACGGGAGGCAGCAGUGGGGAAUCUUCCGCAAUGGACGAAAGUCUGACGGAGCAACGCCGCGUGAGUGAUGAAGGUCUUCGGAUUGUAAAACUCUGUUGUUAGGGACGAAAGCACCGUGUUCGAACAGGUCAUGGUGUUGACGGUACCUAACG
rnacentral:rRNA from 1 species